rnacentral:lncRNA from 1 species
GAUGGAAAAGACGGACAGCUUCUAGAGAACAACGUAAGGGGAGCAACAACCAGACCUGUGUUCAGAAAGGGACCUGCACGCUCUCCCUACCUGGGGGUGGACCAUUCCAUGGACGAGGAGAGAGGCGCCUUCUCAUUCUCCCCCGCCCGUGUCACCAGUCCCCUCCUGGUCAGUUCGGUCCACCACUGAAUCAUCUUUUAUCAGCACCGCUCUGAGCAGGACAAGCCCAGAGACAAAGCUUUCUCCUUGCAGAAACCCCAGCAUCUCCCAGCCCUUGAAGCUGCAGUGUAAUGUUUUACCGGUGUCGUCGUCAUUGGAGGACUUUCACGCCUGGCUGGUGGUCCUGAUGGUCCGGCUGAGGAUAAGUGGGGUGCUUUUGUUCUGUGCUCUAGAGAAUAAAUUUUUCAUUCACGAUAGACUACUGGUUACCAGCACUGCCGGCCUGUUCCCUCUGAAUUAUUACGCAAAAUGAUUAAAAUGUACUUGGUUAAAGUGCUUGUUGCUCUAAUAUACUAAACCCAGAU